rnacentral:rRNA from 1 species
GACGAACGCUGGCGGCGUGCUUAACACAUGCAAGUCGAACGGAAAGGCCCCUUUGGGGGUACUCGAGUGGCGAACGGGUGAGUAACACGUGAGUAACCUGCCCUUGACUUCGGGAUAACUUCAGGAAACUGGGGCUAAUACCGGAUAGGAAUCCUUGCUGCAUGGUGGGGGUUGGAAAGCUUCGGCGGUUUUGGAUGGACUCGCGGCUUAUCAGCUUGUUGGUGGGGUAGUGGCUUACCAAGGCUUUGACGGGUAGCCGGCCUGAGAGGGCGACCGGCCACAUUGGGACUGAGCUACGGCCCAGACUCCUACGGGAGGCAGCAGUGGGGAAUAUUGCACAAUGGGCGGCAGCCUGAUGCAGCAACACCGCGUGCGGGAUGACGGCCUUCGGGUUGUAAACCGCUUUCAGCAGGGGCGAAGCUUGUGGUGACGGUACCUGCAGAAGAAGCACCGGCUAACUACGUG